UUACAAGCUCCCUCCGCCGCCGCUCUCGCGCUACUUCUUCUCUCCUCGCCGGAGGUUUGUCAUCAUCUCUUCUGGUCGCUGUUAGUUCAGAAUACGAUCGAGGAGAGCUCUUAUGUUUGCAAAUCAGCUGUUGCUACUGCAGAGAACGAAGUUUCUAAAUUCUAAGGGGAGAUGACACUAACACAACUCCAAAGACAACAACGCGUUUAAUUGAUUCUGAUCUUGCCGUCGCUCUUGUCUUUCAACAACAGCACUAUCAUCAUGCCUUUGAUUUAACCUCAAGUUACUCUCUUUCUCACUCUCUUAUCUCUCACUCACUCACUCUCUUAUUUAUCAAAUAUACCUUAUCUCUCACUCACUCACUCACUCUCCUAUUUAUCAAAUAAUUGGGCUGGGAAUGGAAAACUUGUAGUUGUGGACUCCAAUGAUCAAACUAAGCUUAAACAUGAGGAUCAG